UACGUAGGGUGCAAGCGUUAAUCGGAAUUACUGGGCGUAAAGCGUGCGCAGGCGGUUAUGCAAGACAGAUGUGAAAUCCCCGGGCUCAACCUGGGAACUGCAUUUGUGACUGCAUAGCUGGAGUGCGGCAGAGGGGGAUGGAAUUCCGCGUGUAGCAGUGAAAUGCGUAGAGAUGUGGAAGAACACCGAUGGCGAAGGCAGCCCCCUGGGAUGAGACUGACGCUCAUGUACGAAAGCGUGGGGAGCAAACAGG
rnacentral:rRNA from 1 species